GUGCUCACUUUGGAAGCACAUAUACGAAAAUUGGAAUGAUACACGGAAGAUUAGCACGGCCCCUGCGCAAGGAUGACACAUAAAUUACCUCUAAAAUGAUAUUCUCU
rnacentral:snRNA from 1 species